GGAAGCCUGAAAAUGUUUAUUUAUUGAGCUUUAAGUUCUUUCUGCUCUGUAAAGAAUUUUCAAUAAUAUUUCUGUAUAAUUCCCAUAGCCUUUAAUAGCUUCAAAACAAGUGCUUCUUGUUUGUUUUCCUUUAACUUUACCAAGAAUAUCAUUACAAACAGCUCAACUCUUUCCCCGAAUCGUUCAAGGUUGAUCGCAUUAUGGAGACAGGGAAUAACGAUCAAUAGAGGUGUCGUUUAUUUGCCAAUUAAAUAUUCUCAACACAGCAGCCGAUUGACAAAUGAAUAACCAAUUAGCACCUGGCAGAGAAAGGAGCUAACUUAGAUGCUUGGACACGUAGUACUUGGGUUUCCCUGCCAGGUUUGAUUCUGGCUAAUGUGUCAUGUAAUGUGUGGGGAUAAUGGCCCAUGAACCAUUACCAUUAACAUUAACUGCAACAAUUUGCAUAACAAAUUGCAAGUGAAGGGACUCGUUGGGCAUGCC
rnacentral:lncRNA from 1 species